GCAAAGCCGCAGCGCCUCCUGUUGUCCGGCCGCGGCUUCCUGCUCCUAACGUUGCCCCCGAAGGUGAGACUCGGGCAGGCGGUCUGUUAUCUUCCUAGAAGAGAGCGUUUCAGCUCGUUGCACAGAUGGAUCAGCGCGCCUCAGGCGCUGUCAGCCGCUCCUGGAAAUCCCCCCCCCAGCCCCGGCGGCCGGAAACCUCCCGUGUGCGGAGCGGAGGAGCGCGGCGGUGCGGUGCUUCCCGUCUGGUCGGGGCUCAGCGCUGCGAGGGAUGCGCGGGGAAUACGGUACGACGGGACCGUGUCCUUCCGCAGCCCCCGAGAGGAGGGGAGAGCAGGGCUCUGCGGGGAUGGAGGACACAGGGAGAAAGACUUCUGCCAUUCCAGCCGUUAGAACGGGCCGGCAUCGCGCGGAGACUCCGCACGAAGUGGGAGCCCCGGCCCCACGCGUGGGAGAGGAGAUGGAAUAGGCGAGAGGUGGACGGGAACCUCUCGGCAGCGUCCGUGCGGGGCAGGUCUCAACCUCGGGAAGGAGCUGCGGGGCUGCAUCAGAACGCCUUCCCUGUUCUUCGCUGGCCGGCCGCCUUUCCAUUUCCCCGGCUCUGCCUCCUGCCCACCCAUCCCUCCCGGCGGUAGGAAACUCCCGUUCCACUCGUUUCCGACCCGGAAUUCCCCCCAUAGAAGAGUGAACGCAGGAGUCGCGUGGAAGCAGCGCAGGUACCCGCAGCCGGGUGGAAGCCCCGGGACGCUGUCAGCGGCGGCCGGGGGCAGCCCCGCACCGAGGGACGCACCGUGCAGCCCCUGCCGGCCUCUGCUUCCCCUUCUUCGCCCUCUCUGAGCCGCGGGGCCGCUCUCCGGCCCCAACGGAGCUCCCACUCGUGCCGAGGUCGCCCGGGGUCUCAUGCACGGAGCACGUAGCCUUCCAUGAGGCCCCGAGGACGUUGCAGCAGUGACUUGACGCUGCCGGAUUUUGUUUUGUUUUACUUUAUUUAUCUUUGUUAUCUAUUAUUUUAUUACUCUGUUUCAAUUUAUUUCAUUUCUUUCCAUUUCUCUUUUUAUUUUUCUUCACAUUUUCUUAUAAUCCAUUACAUUUUUUUUUCAG
ensembl:lncRNA